rnacentral:tRNA from 1 species
GGGCAUAUGGUGUAGUGGUAUCACGCCUCAUUUGCAGCUGCAUCGGUAACGGUGCCCCGCGAUUUGAGGCGGCCCUGGGUUCGAUCCCCAGUGUGUCCA